rnacentral:misc_RNA from 1 species
GAUGAAGAACGUAGUGAAAUGCGAUAAUUAAUGUGAAUUGCAGAAUUCAGUGAAUCAUCGAGUCUUUGAACGCACAUUGCGCCCCCUGGUAUUCCGGGGGGCAUGCCUGUCCGAGCGUCAUUGCUGCCCUCAAGCACGGCUUGUGUGUUGGGCUUCCGUCCCUGGCAACGGGGACGGGCCCAAAAGGCAGUGGCGGCACCAUGUCUGGUCCUCGAGCGUAUGGGGCUUUGUCACCCGCUCCCGUAGGUCCAGCUGGCAGCUAGCCUCGCAACCAAUCUUUUUAUCCAGGUUGACCUCGGAUCAGGUAGGGAUACCCGCUGAACUUAAGCAUAUCAAUAAGCGGAGGA